CAGUAGCCGCGGGAAUACAGAGGGUGCGAGCGUUAAUCGGAUUUACUGGGCGUUAAGCGUGCGUAGGCGGCUUCUUAAGUCGGAUGUGAAAUCCCUGAGCUUAACUUAGGAAUUGCAUUCGAUACUGGGAAGCUAGAGUAUGGGAGAGGAUGGUAGAAUUCCAGGUGUAGCGGUGAAAUGCGUAGAGAUCUGGAGGAAUACCGAUGGCGAAGGCAGCCAUCUGGCCUAAUACUGACGCUGAGGUACGAAAGCAUGGGGAGCAAACAGGAUUAGAUACCCCUGUAGUCCCUGUCUCUUAUAA
rnacentral:rRNA from 1 species